rnacentral:rRNA from 1 species
GAUUCAUAAUAACUUCUCGAAUCGCAUGGCCUUGUGCCGGCGAUGGUUCAUUCAAAUUUCUGCCCUAUCAACUUUCGAUGGCAGGGUCUUGGCCUGCCAUGGUUACAACGGGUAACGGAGGGUUAGGGCUCGACCCCGGAGAAGGAGCCUGAGAAACGGCUACUACAUCCAAGGAAGGCAGCAGGCGCGCAAAUUACCCAAUCCCGAUUCGGGGAGGUAGUGACAAUAAAUACUGAUACAGGGCUCUUUUGGGUCUUGUAAUUGGAAUGAGUACAAUUUAAAUCCCUUAACGAGGAACAAUUGGAGGGCAAGUCUGGUGCCAGCAGCCGCGGUAAUUCCAGCUCCAAUAGCGUAUAUUAAAGUUGUUGCAGUUAAAAAGCUCGUAGUUGAACCUUGGGCCUGGCUGGCCGGUCCGCCUCACCGCGUGCACUGGUUCGGCCGGGCCUUUCCCUCUGGGGAGCCUCAUGCCCUUCACUGGGUGUGUUGGGGAACCAGGACUUUUACG